rnacentral:lncRNA from 1 species
CGACUUCAAGAAAAGAGGCUUUAUUAUCCAGCAGCUCCUCUUGGAAUUCAAAGGAGGAAGGACAGCCGAGCCCCGGGGGGAGUUAGACUUGGACACUGGAAAGUCUUCAGGAGCUGUGCAGCUUUUCUUCUCUCGCCCCCCAAGGCUUUCCUGUCCCCCUGCCCCGCGACUGUCCAGCCCUGCCCCACAGAAUGGCUCUGGGCGAUCUCCUCACAUACCUGGCUUGGCCCUCAGUUGUGGCCUUCGGUCUCUCAUUCAACAGGAUCCUGCAGCUCCUGUGACCAUCACCACCUGACUCUCGGCCUGUGUCUCAGUUCAAAUUGUCAAGAGAAAAUUCUUCAAACUGGAGCUGCUCUAUCAGUAAAUACACCACGGAUGCUUGGACUGUGAGUCACAAAAUCCCGACUAACCCGGGCUAAGGUACAGGAAGUUCAGAGGUAGGCGUCUCAGGGUUGGCUCUGUAAUACCUGACACAAUCAAGGAGCUACCCUUCAUUCACAGUAUCAGACCUCAUUGUCACAGCUCUAGGCUGCAUCUUGUCAAAAGAAAGCCUCCUGAGCAGGAAGGAAAGGGGUACAAGCAGAAAGACCUUUCUCCUCAGGCACAUCUUUGUUUUCUGAGAAGGAAAAUUCUUCCAAAAGUCCUAAGUAGACUUGCACUUCUCUCUCCUUUUCAGGGAAGACCUGAGUCACUUGCCUAUCCCCAGGCCACCAGAAGCAAAAGAAAAUGAGAUUGCCGUGGCUGGUUUAGGUCAGUCAGGACUCACCCCCUGGGACCAGGCACAAGGCUUCCUGAGCAAAAUCAGCUAGCUUGCUUGCUUGCUUUUUUUUUUUUUUCUUAAGAUUCUAUUUAUUUAUUUGAUAGACAGAGAUCACAAGCAGGCAGAGAAGCAGGCAGAGAAGCAGGCACAGUGAGAGGAGGAAGCAGGCUCCCUGCUGAACAGAGAGCCUGAUGUGAGGCUCCAUCCCAGGACCCUGGGAUCCUGACCUGAGCCAAAGGCAGAGGCUUUAACCCAUUGAGCCACCCAGAUGCCCCCCAAAUCAGUUUUCUGUUGGUAAGAAAGAGAAGGAAUGAGGACUGGGUACUGGGUAGGCUCCCACUAGUGACCACAAAAAUGAAAAUGCUUAACUAUGUCUUAAUAUCUGCCCAGAGAUAUUGCUUCUCUAUAUGUUUAAGUAUAUAUGUUUAAGUAUAACUAUUUAUAUUUAAGUAAAGUUAUAAGUAUAUAAACAUAUAUGUAACUAUAUGUGUUUAAGUAAAUUUUUUCUUUAUUUAUUUGAGAGAGAGAGAGAGGGCAAGAGAGAGCACAAGCAGAAGGGAGAGGGGAGCUUCUCCCCCACUGAACAGGGA